UACGGGGGGGGCAAGCGUUGUUCGGAAUUACUGGGCGUAAAGGGUUUGUAGGUGGCUUGCUAAGUCAGACGUGAAAUCCCUCAGCUUAACUGGGGAACUGCGUCUGAGACUGGCGAGCUUGAGUGCAGGAGAGGAACGCGGAAUUCCAGGUGUAGCAGUGAAAUGCGUAGAUAUCUGGAGGAACACCGGUGGCGAAGGCGGCGUUCUGGACUGCAACUGACACUGAGAAACGAAAGCCAGGGGAGCAAACGGG
rnacentral:rRNA from 1 species